AAUUACAAUCCACUUAAACUCUUUCUCAAAACAUUGAACAUUAAAUAACAUUGUAUUAAAGUAACGGAAGUAGUGAGCCAUCCUUCUCACAAACGAUAAAUAAAUACAUAUAAAAUCAUAAUCAGGUCACGGAAGCAGUGAGCCCUCCUUCUCACAUACCGAGGUGCCUGUGUUUGUGAACCCUCCUUCUCACAAACGAUAAAUAAAUACAUAUACAAUCAUCAUCAGGUCACGGAAGCAGUGAGCCCUCCUUCUCACAUACCGAGGUGCCUGUGUUUGUGAACCCUCCUUCUCACAAACAAUAAAUACAUACAUAUAAAAUCAUACUCAGGUCACGGAAGCAGUGAGCCCUCCUUCUCACAUACCGAGGUGCCUGUGUUUGUGAACCCUCCUUCUCACAAACAAUAAAUACAUACAUAUAAAAUCAUACUCAGGUCACGGAAGCAGUGAGCCCUCCUUCUCACAUACCGAGGUGCCUGUGUUUGUGAACCCUCCUUCUCACAAACAAUAAAUACAUACAUAUAAAAUCAUACUCAGGUCACGGAAGCAGUGAGCCCUCCUUCUCACAUACCGAGGUGCCUGUGUUUGUGAACCCUCCUUCUCACAAACAAUAAAUACAUACAUAUACAAUCAU